rnacentral:rRNA from 1 species
AUGCAGUCGUACGAGAAAUCUGGAGCAAUCUGGAGAGUACAGUGGCGCACGGNUGANUAACGCGUGGGUAACUUACCCUUGGGUUGGGGAUAACUCUUCGAGAGGAGAGCUAAUACCGAAUGACAUCCCGGUUUCUCCGGGGAUCGGGAUCAAAGGUGGCCUCUGCAUGCAAGCUGCUGUCUGAGGAUGGGCCCGCGUACCAUUAGCUAGUUGGUAGGGUAACAGCCUACCAAGGCUUCGAUGGUUAGCUGGUCUGAGAGGAUGGCCAGCCACACUGGAACUGAGACACGGUCCAGACUCCUACGGGAGGCAGCAGUGGGGAAUCUUGCGCAAUGGGGGAAACCCUGACGCAGCAACGCCGCGUGGGUGAUGAAGGCCUUCGGGUCGUAAAGCCCUGUCAGGUGGGAAGAAACUCAUCGGUGUCAAUACCACCGAUGCUUGACGGUACCACCGGAGGAAGCACCGGCUAACUCCGUGCCAGCAGCCGCGGUAAUACGGAGGGUGCAAGCGUUGUUCGGAAUUACUGGGCGUAAAGCGCGUGUAGGCGGUUAGGCAAGUCAGAUGUGAAAGCCUCCCGCUUAACGGGAGAAUUGCAUUUGAAACUAUCUAGCUGGAGUUCGGGAGAGGAGAGUGGAAUUCCCGGUGUAGAGGUGAAAUUCGUAGAUAUCGGGAGGAACACCGGUGGCGAAGGCGGCUCUCUGGCCCGAUACUGACGCUGAGACGCGAAAGCGUGGGGGAGCAAACAGGAUUAGAUACCCUGGUAGUCCACGCCGUAAACGAUGAGCACUANGUGUAGGAGGUAUUGACCCCUUCUGUGCCGAAGCUAACGCAUUAAGUGCUCCGCCUGGGGAGUACGGCCGCAAGGCUAAAACUCAAAUGAAUUGACGG